UACGAAGGGGGCUAGCGUUGCUCGGAAUCACUGGGCGUAAAGCGCACGUAGGCGGAUCGCUAAGUCAGGGGUGAAAUCCUGGAGCUCAACUCCAGAACUGCCUUUGAUACUGGUGAGCUUGAGUCCGGAAGAGGUGAGUGGAACUGCGAGUGUAGAGGUGAAAUUCGUAGAUAUUCGCAAGAACACCAGUGGCGAAGGCGGCUCACUGGUCCGGUACUGACGCUGAGGUGCGAAAGCGUGGGGAGCAAACAG
rnacentral:rRNA from 1 species